CUUGAGAAACGGCUACCACAUCCAAGGAAGGCAGCAGGCGCGCAAAUUACCCACUCCCGGCACGGGGAGGUAGUGACGAAAAAUAACGAUACGGGACUCAUCCGAGGCCCCGUAAUCGGAAUGAGUACACUCUAAACCCUUUAACGAGGAUCAAUUGGAGGGCAAGUCUGGUGCCAGCAGCCGCGGUAAUUCCAGCUCCAAUAGCGUAUAUUAAAGUUGUUGCGGUUAAAAAGCUCGUAGUCGAACUUGUGUCCCGCGCCGGCGGUUCAUCGUUCGCGGUGUUUAACUGCCGUGUCCGUGGGACGUCCUGCCGGUGGACUUAGCCCUCUCGGGGGCGGUCCAACUUCAAAUCCCACCGCGGUGCUCUUUACCGAGUGUCGAGGUGGGCCGGCACGUUUACUUUGAACAAAUUAGAGUGCUUAAAGCAGGCUAAAACUUUGCCUGAAUACUGUGUGCAUGGAAUAAUAGAAUAGGACCUCGGUUCUAUUUUGUUGGUUUUCGGAACUCCGAGGUAAUGAUUAAUAGGAACGGAUGGGGGCAUUCGUAUUGCGACGUUAGAGGUGAAAUUCUUGGACCGUCGCAAGACGGACUAAAGCGAAAGCAUUUGCCAAAAACGCUUUCAUUGAUCAAGAACGAAAGUUAGAGGUUCGAAGGCGAUCAGAUACCGUCCUAGUUCUAACCAUAAACGAUGCCAGCUAGCGAUCCGCCGUCGUUCCUCCGAUGACUCGGCGGGCAGCUUCCGGGAAACCAAAGCUUUUGGGUUCCGGGGGAAGUAUGGUUGCAAAGCUGAAACUUAAAGGAAUUGACGGAAGGGCACCACCAGGAGUGGAGCCUGCGGCUUAAUUUGACUCAACACGGGAAACCUCACCAGGCCCGGACACCGGAAGGAUUGACAGAUUGACAGCUCUUUCUUGAUUCGGUGGGUGGUGGUGCAUGGCCGUUCUUAGUUGGUGGAGCGAUUUGUCUGGUUAAUUCCGAUAACGAACGAGACUC
rnacentral:rRNA from 1 species